UGGGGAUUAUUGGACAAUGGGGGGAACCCUGAUCCAGCCAUGCCGCGUGUGUGAAGAAGGCCUUAUGGUUGUAAAGCACUUUAAGCGAGGAGGAGGGUACUGGUAUUAAUACUACCAGGUACUGGACGUUACUCGCAGAAUAAGCACCGGCUAACUCUGUGCCAGCAGCCGCGGUAAUACAGAGGGUGCGAGCGUUAAUCGGAUUUACUGGGCGUAAAGCGUGCGUAGGCGGCUAAUUGAGUCGGAUGUGAAAUCCCCGAGCUUAACUUGGGAAUUGCAUUCGAUACUGGUUAGCUAGGGUGAGGGAGAGGAUGGUAGGAUUCCAGGUGUAGCGGUGAAAUGCGUAGAGAUCUGGAGGGAUACCGAUGGCGAAGGCAGCCAUCUGGCCUAACACUGACGCUGGGGUACGAAAGCAUGGGGAGCAAACAGG
rnacentral:rRNA from 1 species